AGAUGAGAAAUCUUUUGGUGUAUUCAUUUCCAACAAUGAAGCUGCUGUACUCCCUGGAAGUGGCAGAUAUUGCAGCUCUGGUUCAAACUGAUGUUGGUCAGGAUACAAUAUAUAUUUUGGAAGGAGUUUCUGAAAAUCAGAAAAGUUCACCUAAUGGAAUCAUUUGUACAAUAGCCAUGAGAUGUUUAACAGAAGCACUGCCAGAAAACAG